rnacentral:rRNA from 1 species
UCAUGGCUCAGGACGAACGCUGGCGGCGUGCCUAACACAUGCAAGUCGAACGAGGUCCAUGCAGUGGCAACACUGCGGAAGACCUAGUGGCGAACGGGUGAGUAACACGUGAGGAACUUGCCCCGGAGACCGGGAUAACUCUCCGAAAGGAGAGCUAAUACCGGAUGUCCUCACCGAAUCGCAUGGUUUGGUGAGGAAAUGGAUUCCGCUCCGGGAGAGCCUCGCGGCCUAUCAGCUAGUUGGUGGGGUAACGGCCCACCAAGGCAUCGACGGGUAGCUGGUCUGAGAGGACGAUCAGCCACACUGGGACUGAGACACGGCCCAGACUCCUACGGGAGGCAGCAGUGGGGAAUCUUGCGCAAUGGGCGAAAGCCUGACGCAGCAACGCCGCGUGCGGGAUGAAGGCCCUCGGGUUGUAAACCGCUUUCAGUGGGGACGAACCAAGACGGUACCCACAGAAGAAGCCCCGGCCAACUACGUGCCAGCAGCCGCGGUAACACGUAGGGGGCAAGCGUUGUCCGGAUUUAUUGGGCGUAAAGAGCUCGUAGGUGGUUCAGUAAGUCGGGUGUGAAACCUCCAGGCUCAACCUGGAGACGCCACCCGAUACUGCUGUGACUAGAGUCCAGUAGGGGAGCAUGGAAUUCCUGGUGUAGCGGUGAAAUGCGCAGAUAUCAGGAGGAACACCAGUGGCGAAGGCGGUGCUCUGGGCUGGAACUGACACUGAGGAGCGAAAGCGUGGGGAGCGAACAGGAUUAGAUACCCUGGUAGUCCACGCCGUAAACGUUGGGUACUAGGUGUGGGGUCUUAUCAACGGAUUCCGUGCCGAAGCUAACGCAUUAAGUACCCC